rnacentral:lncRNA from 1 species
AUGACACGAUCAAGAUCAGACGUUCAAGGACCUGAGCCACCUGGGUGCCCCAAGAGUUUUACGUUUAUGAUGCAAACACGAACCAGGCCCUGCGCUGCCUGCUCCCACGGGUCGGCGUCCAGAUUCUCUUUCCUGCUUGAUCCAUUCUGAUACUGAUACGCUGGGAGCCAUUUCUGAAGUAAGGCAGGUUUGCAAGGCCUCCCACCGUCAGAAGGUGACCUGCGUCUACACCCACUCAACCCCUACUCAAUUUCUGCUUGAGCACCCCCCCAUCCCGGUCAGGCACCUGACUGACUGAGAUCAGGAAGGACUUGCCUUCUUAUGCUAAAAAUAUGUGAAUUGUACCUUAUGAAAAAACUUGUUAUAGGAGUUUCUUCUUUUGUGAUUAUAGGAGCAAAUGUUACAUUUCCUGAGAAAACCUGUUUUUCUUCCCCUCAGAAAACAGGCUAUUGACCCCUGCUCACAAAAGAACUAACUUUUGCUUUUGCUACGCUAAAAAACAUUGCCUUGUAUUUGAAUGCUAAAGAUCCCUUCCUUCCCCAUGUGGUAAGCAUCUAGUUAGUUAUCUACAUCAAUCACUAUUGAUAAAGGUUAUGCAUGAGUCUUCUACCAAUGUAUGUUUUGGGAAAUUUUUACAUGCCAAAGAAUUUGUUAUCAGAAAUUAUUGUCUAAGGCAAUCACCACUUCUGUUUUGUACCCCAUACAUUUUUUUCAAUAAAUAAGGCUGACUCUCCAGUCAGUGCAGAGAUGCCUGACUGAAGUGCAGAGAUGUUGGUCAGCAGUGCAGAGAUGCCUGCCUGCUGAUCAGAAAGAACCUCCUGGCUCUCUCAUUCCCUUCCCCCUUCCCCAAUUCCCAUCUCCUUCAUGCAACACUGUCUAUCCUUCAGGGGAGCCCUGGACCUGCUGGAGCUGGACUCUGGCACUGAUACCCCCUCUGCAUUUAAAAAUUUCAUUAAAAUGUGUUCCUCACCUCCAAAAUUUCUGAUUGGUUCUUUUUAAUGAUUUCUUUCUCCUUGUUAAAUGUCUCAUUUUGUAUCGUUUCCUUGAUUUUGUUGAAUUGUCCUUACCUGUUUUACUGCAGCUCCCUGAGUUUCCUUAAACAGCUGUUUUGAAUUCUUUAUCAGAUAAAUUGCGGUUCCCCAUGUUUUUGGGAUUGCUUAUUGGAAGAUUAUUUUGACCUUUUGCUGUGUUUCUUGAAAUUUUGCAUUGUCUUUGCAUUUGAAGUAAUAGUUGCUCUGGUCUUUACUAACUGCCUCCAGGAGAGAAAUGCCUUCCACCAGCACCACUGGGG